rnacentral:lncRNA from 10 species
GUUUUCUGAUGCACUAUACAGUUGACCUUUGAAGAACACAGGUUUGAACGGCACAGGUCCAUUUACAUGCAGAUUUUCUUCUGCCUCUCCCCGGCUGCUGCCACCCCGAGACAGCAAGACCAGACCCAUCUCUUCUCCCUCAUCAGCCUACUCAACUGCAGGUUUCUCAUACUUCCGGAGAAAUAGAAAGCACCAGAUGACAGCCACCACACACUUUUGUCCCCAUUGCAAUAGGAUGCUUCUAACAAUCGUAAAAUUAUGAAACACUGAAUUCCUUAAAAGUUGUCCAUUUGUGGAUUUAUCUGAUGGUAACUAUUAAAUAUUUAAAAGUAACUUUAAUGAAUCUACUUAUGAUGAUUGAGUAAUCUAUUCUCUGAAUUCCACCAAAAAACCAUUUUAUGACCACAGUCAUAACGAACAUAUUUCUAUAGUCCUAAGCUGGCAAGAUAAAUAGAGAACAGUUCAUAAUAUAAACAAUAUAUUUAUUUAUUCCUAAACUAAUAAGAUGACUAUCAAUCUGUAAGAGACUAUGAAAAUCAAUACCGUAUACUUGGUAUAGUUGGUGAGAAUUUCAGGAGCAUGUUUGUUCUUUUAUUUGUGUUUUGGAAGAUACUUAGCCCACUUUUUUUUUUUUUUUUUUGAGAUGGAGUCUCACUCUUGUCGCCCAGGCUGGAGUGGAGUGGCAUGAUCUCGACUCACUGCAACCUCCACCUCCCAGGUUCAAGUGAUACUCCUGCCUCAGCCUCCCGAGUAGCUGGGACUACAGGUGCGCACCACCACACCCAGCUAAUUUCUGUAUUUUUAGUAGAGACGGGGUUUCACCAUGUUGGCCAGAUGGUCUCGAUCUCUUGACCUUGUGAUCUGCCCGCCUCGGCCUACUUAGCCAACUUUUAAGGACAAGUCCAGCCAUCCUUAUCCUUCACAGCAAAUAACAAACAUAGUGAUUUGUGGGGGUGAAGAGAUGUUGGUCAAGGGGUAUGAAAGUACAGUCAGAUAAAAGGAAUGUGUCCUAGAUUUGAUAGAAUACUAGGGAAAUUACAGUUAACAAAAAUUUAUUGUACACUUCAAAGUAGCUAGAAGCAAAGAACUGUAAUGUCCCCAACACAAAGAAAAGAUAAAUGUUUGGGGUGAUAAUAUCUCAAUUACUCUGAUUUGAUCAUUACACAUUGUAUGCAGGUAUCAAAAUAUCACAUAUCCCCCCAAAAUAUGUACAACUGUUGUAUAUUAAUAAAAAUAAAUACAAACAAAAAGACCCAAAUAGUUAUUAAUUAUAGUGUAAAUAUUAGACUAGAGCCAUUCUGGACAAGCACCUGUUCAACACCAUAUCCUCAUUUUCUGGCACCCAGUAGACACUGCGGAAGUAUUUUUGAUUGGUCCUGCAGAGGUUCUACCCCAACCUCACCAGGUGCAGGUGGAUGCCAGGUGCCAG